GUGUCCUACGGGACGCAGCAGUGAGGAAUAUUGGUCAAUGGCCGAGAGGCUGAACCAGCCAAGUCGCGUGAGGGAAGACGGCCCUACGGGUUGUAAACCUCUUUUGUCGGGGAGCAAAGCGAACCACGUGUGGUUCAUUGAGAGUACCCGAAGAAAAAGCAUCGGCUAACUCCGUGCCAGCAGCCGCGGUAAUACGGAGGAUGCGAGCGUUAUCCGGAUUUAUUGGGUUUAAAGGGUGCGUAGGCGGAAUAUCAAGUCAGCGGUAAAAAUUCAGGGCUCAACCCUGUCGAGCCGUCGGAACUGGC
rnacentral:rRNA from 1 species